rnacentral:rRNA from 1 species
UCUUGGGCUUCACGCAUGCUACAAUGGCCGGUACAAAGGGUUGCGAUACUGUGAGGUGGAGCUAAUCCCAAAAAGCCGGUCUCAGUUCGGAUUGGGGUCUGCNACUCGACCCCAUGAAGUCGGAGUCGCUAGUAAUCGCAGAUCAGCAACGCUGCGGUGAAUNCGUUCCCGGGCCUUGUACACACCCCCCNUCCAGUCACGAAAGUUGGUAACACCCGAACCGGUGGCCUAACCCCUUGUGGAGGGAGCUGUCGAAGGUGGG